rnacentral:tRNA from 1 species
GGGAAUGUGGCUUAGUGGUAGAGUGCUUGCCUAUCAUGCAUGAAGCCCUGGGUUCGAUUCCUCAGUGCCA